GGCGAGUUGGUGAAGCGGCUUAACACACCGCCCUUUCACGGCGGCACUCACGGGUUCGAAUCCCGUACUCGUCA
rnacentral:tRNA from 1 species